rnacentral:rRNA from 1 species
AUUGAACGCUGGCGGCAGGCCUAACACAUGCAAGUCGAGCGGAUGAAGGGAGCUUGCUCCUGGAUUCAGCGGCGGACGGGUGAGUAAUGCCUAGGAAUCUGCCUGGUAGUGGGGGAUAACGUCCGGAAACGGGCGCUAAUACCGCAUACGUCCUGAGGGAGAAAGUGGGGGAUCUUCGGACCUUACGCUAUCAGAUGAGCCUAGGUCGGAUUAGCUAGUUGGUGGGGUAAAGGCCUACCAAGGCGACGAUCCGUAACUGCUCUGAGAGGAUGAUCAGUCACACUGGAACUGAGACACGGUCCAGACUCCUACGGUAGGCAGCAGUGGGGAAUAUUGGACAAUGGGCGAAAGCCUGAUCCAGCCAUGCCGCGUGUGUGAAGAAGGUCUUCGGAUUGUAAAGCACUUUAAGUUGGGAGGAAGGGCAGUAAGUUAAUACCUUGCUGUUUUGACGUUACCAACAGAAUAAGCACCGGCUAACUUCGUG